CUCCGUCACUGUCACACAGAAGAAAAAGAAGAGUUUAAAAAUGUUUUUUAAAAAAAAUCACAUUUACAGUCCAUCUGCUGCUGUUUGAAGCUCACACAGGGACCACAGAGGACACUGUGCCAAGGUGGGAGGAGCCCACCAGGGCAAGUUCAAGCAUGUUGCGCGCAGAAGC